AAAGCGCGCGUAGGUGGUUUGUUAAGUUGGAUGUGAAAGCCCCGGGCUCAACCUGGGAACUGCAUCCAAAACUGGCAAGCUAGAGUAUGGUAGAGGGUGGUGGAAUUUCCUGUGUAGCGGUGAAAUGCGUAGAUAUAGGAAGGAACACCAGUGGCGAAGGCGACCACCUGGACUGAUACUGACACUGAGGUGCGAAAGCGUGGGGAGCAAACAGGAUUAGAUACCCCAGU
rnacentral:rRNA from 1 species